UCUCAUUUUAAUGAAUUGCACACGCAUUUGCACCGCAUAAGAUCCUCCACUGUCAACCAGCUCAACAUCUCCAGUAGUAUUUCUCUGGGAAGGGAAAGUCCAUUAUCAUCCGAAUCCAAAACAAUUCUCUUUUCUGUCCGGAUAAAUUUCUGAAUUAAUAGCUUCAAUUGGAUGAUUAUUUUUCCCAUCUUCUCUCUAAUGUCCCAAAAUGAAGCACCUUGUAUCUGAGAAAGAAUGAACUGAUUCAUUGAUUAGCACUAAAAAUUAAAUACCAAGAUUUCAACAACUACAAGUCAACUUUUUUUAAUAAAUAACAUAUACUCACUCAGUUCCACAAAAGAGUCUAAUUUGUAUCAAGAACAUACUCUACAAAAAAAGAGUACUCUUCUUUUUAUUAUAGUACGUAUAUAAUUAUAUAGUUUCCUCAAAUUUAUUGGCGGAGCCACACUUGGGCUGGGGUGGGCUGUAGCCCGGGUGAAGCCCUAUAUUCAACAGUCCUACAUUCAUCUUCAUCUCCAUAUUCAUUUGUUUCUCUCUCCCUCUCUAACGGAGUGAUAUGGUCACUACAAAUUGGCAUAAAAUAGUUAUGAAAGAAUCAUUAAACUGAGCCAAAACCUUAACUAUGUAACAUUUGUAGCGUUGAAGACUUGAAGCCCCAAUAUAACAGGUGAUUGUUUAUUUUUCAUUUUCCCCAUAUUUUUCUCCUUUUGUCUUUCUUAUGUGCGUCAGUGUAUUGAUUCAAGUACCAUAAUUCUCAAUCCCCUCUUUUAUAUUAUGAAUUUGUCCUAAAUAUAUGGCCAAUGCUUGCUGCUGGAUGUUGCACACAAGGUGCUUGGUAAUUGGCUUCAGUGAAUCCCCUCUUUUAUAUUGUGAAUUUUGUCGUAAAUAUCUUGUCAAUUCUUGCUGAAUCCCCUCUUAUAUUAUUUAAAAUUAGUAGUUUGUUUGAAUUUGUUGUUGGUUUGAGAC
rnacentral:lncRNA from 1 species